UACAGAGGUCUCAAGCGUUGUUCGGAUUCAUUGGGCGUCAAGGGUGCGUAGGCGGCGCGGUAAGUCGGGGGUGAAAUCUCGGAGCUUAACUCCGAAACUGCAUUCGAUACUGCCGUGCUUGAGGACUGGAGAGGAGACUGGAAUUUACGGUGUAGCGGUGAAAUGCGUAGAUAUCGUAAGGAAGACCAGUGGCGGAGGCGGGUCUCUGGACAGUUCCUGACGCUGAGGCACGAAGGUCAGGGGAGCAAACGGG
rnacentral:rRNA from 1 species